rnacentral:rRNA from 1 species
GAUGAACGCUGGCGGCGUGCCUAAUACAUGCAAGUCGAGCGAACGGACGAGAAGCUUGCUUCUCCGAUGUUAGCGGCGGACGGGUGAGUAACACGUGGAUAACCUACCUAUAAGACUGGGAUAACUUCGGGAAACCGUAGCUGAUACCGGAUAAUAUUUUGAACCGCAUGGUUCAAAAGUGAAAGACGGUCUUGCUGUCACUUAUAGAUGGAUCCGCGCUGCAUUAGCUAGUUGGUAAGGUAACGGCUUACCAAGGCAACGAUGCAUAGCCGACCUGAGGGGGUGAUCGGCCACACUGGAACUGAGACACGGUCCAGACUCCUACGGGAGGCAGCAGUAGGGAAUCUUCCGCAAUGGGCGAAAGCCUGACGGAGCAACGCCGCGUGAGUGAUGAAGGUCUUCGGAUCGUAAAACUCUGUUAUUAGGGAAGAACAUAUGUGUAAGUAACUGUGCACAUCUUGACGGUACCUAAUCAGAAAGCCACGGCUAACUACGUG